rnacentral:misc_RNA from 1 species
GAUGAAGAACGUAGCGAAAUGCGAUACUUGGUGUGAAUUGCAGAAUCCCGUGAACCUUCGAGUCUUUGAACGCAAGUUGCGCCCGAAGCCACUAGGCCGAGGGCACGCCUGCCUGGGCGUCACACGCCGUUGCCCCCCCAUCUACUCCUUCGGGAUUGCGGGGGGGCGGAUGAUGGCCUCCCGUGCGCCUAGCCGCGCGGUUGGCAUAAAUACCAAGUCCUCGGCGACGCACGCCACGACAAUCGGUGGUUGCGAAACCUCGGUUGCCCGUCGUGUGCGUUCGUCGCGCAUCGAGGGCUCGAAAAAAUGCUCGGCUCCGGCUGGGCUUUCAACGCGACCCCAGGUCAGGCGGGGUUACCCGCUGAAUUUAAGCAUAUCAAUAAGCGGAGGA